rnacentral:rRNA from 1 species
CAGUAGCCGCGGGAAUACGGAGGGUGCAAGCGUUAAUCGGAAUUACUGGGCGUAAAGCGCACGCAGGCGGUCUGACAAGUCAGAUGUGAAAUCCCCGGGCUUAACCUGGGAACUGCAUUUGAAACUGUCAGGCUGGAGUCUUGUAGAGGGGGGUAGAAUUCCAGGUGUAGCGGUGAAAUGCGUAGAGAUCUGGAGGAAUACCGAUGGCGAAGGCAGCCAUCUGGCCUAAUACUGACGCUGAGGUACGAAAGCAUGGGGAGCAAACAGGAUUAGAUACCCCGGUAGUCCCUGUCUCUUAUAC